rnacentral:rRNA from 1 species
UGGGGAAUCUUGCGCAAUGGGCGAAAGCCUGACGCAGCGACGCCGCGUGAGUGAUGAAGGCCUUCGGGUUGUAAAGCUCUGUGGAGCGGGACGAAUAAGUCGUGGCCAACAUCCACGAUGAUGACGGUACCGCUUUAGCAAGCACCGGCUAACUCUGUGCCAGCAGCCGCGGUAAGACAGAGGGUGCAAACGUUGUUCGGAAUUACUGGGCGUAAAGCGCGUGUAGGCUGCUCCGAAAGUCGGAUGUGAAAGCCCUGGGCUCAACCUAGGAAGUGCAUUCGAAACUUCGAAGCUGGAGUCCUGGAGAGGAAGGCGGAAUUCUCGGUGUAGAGGUGAAAUUCGUAGAUAUCGAGAGGAACACCGGUGGCGAAGGCGGCCUUCUGGACAGUGACUGACGCUGAGACGCGAAAGCGUGGGGAGCAAACA